rnacentral:rRNA from 1 species
CCUACGGGAGACAGCAGUGAGGAAUAUUGGUCAAUGGACGAGAGUCUGAACCAGCCAAGUAGCGUGAAGGAUGAAUGCCCUAUGGGUUGUAAACUUCUUUUAUAUGGGAAUAAAAUGUUCCACGUGUGGGAUUUUGUAUGUACCAUAUGAAUAAGGAUCGGCUAACUCCGUGCCAGCAGCCGCGGUAAUACGGAGGAUCCGAGCGUUAUCCGGAUUUAUUGGGUUUAAAGGGAGCGUAGGUGGAUUGUUAAGUCAGUUGUGAAAGUUUGCGGCUCAACCGUAAAAUUGCAGUUGAAACUGGCAGUCUUGAGUACAGUAGAGGUGGGCGGAAUUCGUGGUGUAGCGGUGAAAUGCUUAGAUAUCACGAAGAACUCCGAUUGCGAAGGCAGUUCACUGGACUGCAACUGACACUGAGGCUCGAAAGUGUGGGUAUCAAACAGGAUUAGAUACCCGAGUAGUC